rnacentral:rRNA from 1 species
UACGGGGGAUGCAAGCGUUAUCCGGAUUUAUUGGGUUUAAAGGGUGCGUAGGCUGUGAGGUAAGUCAGCGGUGAAAUGCCCCCGCUCAACGGGGUGAAGUGCCAUUGAUACUGCCUUGCUGGAAUGCGGAUGCCGUGGGAGGAAUGUGUGGUGUAGCGGUGAAAUGCAUAGAUAUCACACAGAACACCGAUUGCGAAGGCAUCGCACGAAUCCGCGAUUGACGCUGAUGCACGAAAGCGUGGGUAUCAAACAGG